rnacentral:lncRNA from 1 species
GAAGAAUAAAUAGACUCUAAAUAUAUCGGCUUAUCCAUAUAGAAUCUUCUAUCAGAUAAUAUACAAAUUUCGUCAAAUGUUUUAUGAGAAAUCGUUCCUGCCAAUUUCUAUCGCCUUUUCUAUCUUUAGCUGCGAAUCACACAUUUUCCUUUAAAUUGAGACAGAGAAAGAGCAUCGACAAUAGCCUUCUGAAAAUCACCUCCAUACCCCCCACAACAACUUCUCAACUUUAUCCUUGAACUUUUGGUUUGUUGGUUUUUCGAUUCCUGUUGCCGUAUUUGCUACGUUUUACUCGUUUUUCUUUCCUUUUUCCCACCUUUUGCACCUGGCAAGACAAAUCACACAAACUGACACGAGGAAACAAAAAGCCGAGAAAAAGAAAAACAAUUCCAAAACGUGUUUAACAUUUUUCCAUCUUUAUUUCACAUUUUAAACAAUUUUUCUUCUCUGCUUUCCUAAACUUUGUUGGUCUCCAAAGAUUUUACUAACCCUAACAAAGAGCGGGAGAGCAAGAGAGAUGGAGAAUAGAAAGAGAGAAGCUUGGAGAAAAUUGUUUUUUUUUUUUUUUGCUUUAAUUUUCGGCAAUUUUUCUUAUGCCAGAAAGAAAAAUGGAGUUGUCGUUUGUUCCGGCUACCCCGCCGGUCUGACAAUUUUGGGGGUGGCUUUCCUUUUGGCUUUUCCGUGCUUUCCUUUUUUUUUGGGGUUUUCCUUUUUUUUUUUUUUGGUUUUGCUGCUGCUGCUGCUUUGGCAGGCUAUUCGCUUGCCUUU